rnacentral:rRNA from 1 species
CCUGGUGACCAUACCGGUGGGGGUCCACCCGUUCCCAUUCCGAACACGGUAGUUAAGCCCACCAGGGCCGACGAUACUUGGGCGCAAGGCCCCGGGAAAAUAGGUCGUCGCCAGGU